AUUCAGCUGAUAAGUUCUAAAUAGAACGAAACGCGCGUCCUAGAU
rfam:Schistosoma mattheei strain Denwood, Zambia genome assembly, scaffold: SMTD_scaffold0000378